rnacentral:rRNA from 1 species
UACGGGGGGGGCAAGCGUUGUUCGGAAUUACUGGGCGUAAAGCGCGCGUAGGCGGCUCUUCAAGUCGGGUGUGAAAGCUCCAGGCUUAACCUGGGAAUUGCGCUUGAUACUGUUGAGCUAGAGUGUGGAAGGGGCUACUGGAAUUCCGUGUGUAGCGGUGAAAUGCGUAGAUAUCUGGAGGAAUACCGGUGGCGAAGGCGGCAUCCUGGACCGGCAUUGACGCUGAGGAGCGAAAGCCAGGGGAGCAAACGGG